rnacentral:rRNA from 1 species
GGUGAACGCUGGCGGCGUGCCUAAUACAUGCAAGUCGAGCGAACGGACGAGAAGCUUGCUUCUCUGAUGUUAGCGGCGGACGGGUGAGUAACACGUGGAUAACCUACCUAUAAGACUGGGAUAACUUCGGGAAACCGGAGCUAAUACCGGAUGAUAUUUUGAACCGCAUGGUUCAAAAGUGAAAGACGGUCUUGCUGUCACUUAUAGAUGGAUCCGCGCUGCAUUAGCUAGUUGGUAAGGUAACGGCUUACCAAGGCAACGAUGCAUAGCCGACCUGAGAGGGUGAUCGGCCACACUGGAACUGAGACACGGUCCAGACUCCUACGGGAGGCAGCAGUAGGGAAUCUUCCGCAAUGGGCGAAAGCCUGACGGAGCAACGCCGCGUGAGUGAUGAAGGUCUUCGGAUCGUAAAACUCUGUUAUUAGGGAAGAACAUAUGUGUAAAUAACUGUGCACAUCUUGACGGUACCUAAUCAGAAAGCCACGGCUAACUACGUG